GUGCCCAUGGUGUAGUGGUUUAUCACAUUCGCCUUACACGCGAAAGGUCUCCGGUUCGAUCCCGGAUGGGCACA
rnacentral:tRNA from 1 species